GGUAAAUAACACGUAUUGAUGAGUGAGAGUGUCAGCGAGGUAAGGGAGAUCACUCUAGCGAAACAAAUAUAGAGAAGCAGACGGCAAUGGCGGCCAUGAGAGCGAAAGGAUGUUGUACGCUAUAUGCCAGUAUGACUACUGAAGGCAAAAGAGAUGUAAAAUUGGCUGUGGAUAUCGCUGUGUUUUCAGGAGAACAGAUUGAUUGGUUUAAACUGGGCAACUCUCUUCUACGUCCAGUGUGAAGGGUAUAUUCCGGUGUCUUAUAGAGGGAGAAAACACUUUGUGGGGAACAUUUGUAACCGUGGAGUCAUUCUCAAACUGUUAAAUUAAGUCCACGACGUGUGAGGCCAAACACUGCAAGGUAGCUAGCCGUUGAAGUCUGUGAUAUUAGCAAAAGAAUAAAUGUGUCUUCAUUUUUGCCUUUAAAGCAGCAGAAGACCCGUGGAUGUGGCCGGUAAUUGGUCGUCACUACAGACUGAGAUCAUGUUUAAAGAACACUUGACCAAAGUAAUAGCGAAUUUAGUCUGGGUGGACUUGCGGGUAACUAAGAAGUGUAUGACUUGGUAUGCCUGACAGAUGCAAGUGCAAUUUUGGGGUGUAAAGCAGUAUAUUUUUUUAAAAAUAAGCUUUUAUAUUUUUUAUAUUUUAUAUUUUAUAUUUUAUUUUAUUGAAGUUUGCUACAUUAUUCUUUUAACUUAAGCAUGAGCAACGUGCAAUUCCGUGGCUUCCAUGGUUUUUAAGGCAAAAUACAUCAGAACUUUAA